rnacentral:rRNA from 1 species
UGGGGAAUUUUGGACAAUGGGCGCAAGCCUGAUCCAGCCAUGCCGCGUGAGUGAAGAAGGCCUUCGGGUUGUAAAGCUCUUUCGGUGAAGACGAAAUGGCCAGCGCUAAUAACGCUGGCUAAUGACGGUACUCACAGAAGAAGCACCGGCUAACUACGUGCCAGCAGCCGCGGUAAUACGUAGGGUGCAGGCGUUAAUCGGAAUUACUGGGCGUAAAGCGUGCGCAGGCGGUUUGCUAAGACAGGUGUGAAAUCCCCGGGCUUAACCUGGGAAUUGCGCUUGUAACUGGCAGGCUAGAGUGUGGCAGAGGGGGGUAGAAUUCCACGUGUAGCAGUGAAAUGCGUAGAUAUGUGGAGGAAUACCGAUGGCGAAGGCAGCCCCCUGGGUUAACACUGACGCUCA